CUUCUCUUCUUUUCCCUGGAUCUGACCACAGCCAUGGCAUAUAGCUACCCUUACUUAGGGUGGGUCUUCUCUUCUCAGUUAAAGUUGUCUAGAAAUAUUCUCGUAGGCAUACCCAGAGCUGUGUGGUUCUAAAUUGAGCCUAGAUGGCAAUGUAGAUCAAUCAGCACUUCUGCACCCUUUGCUAACUUGAUAUCUAAACCCAUCUUUUAAAUCAUAACAUUGGGUCAAGCCUCCAUGUCUCAUUUUCAUCUCCUAAUGUGAAAUACAUCUAGUUCAUCUCUAACAUCCCCAGAGAUGCAAUGCUGUUUAAAAGCCUAAAAUUCCAUGUCUCUUCUGAAGCUCCAGGCAAUUUUAUAGCUGUAAGCCCUCCAAUCUCAUAGCUAUAAGCCCCCUUUUAUAAGAUAAAAAACAAAUUAUGUACUUCCAGCACACAAUUUCAUAGAAUAAACAUUCCCAUUCCAAAAAAGAGGAACAGGAGGCUAGGGAAGAAAUAGUGAAGCAAAGUAAGACUGAAACCCAACAAAAGAAACAUCAAAUCCUGCAGCUCCAUAUACGGUACUUUUGAUGAAAUCAUCUGGGUUCUAGUAGACUUAGACAACACCAUCCUUCUAAGUCUGAUACCUCUUAAUUCACAAGUGUAUGUGAUCCCUCUUUUCGUGGACUCCAUUCCAUUUCUGCAGCCUUCGUUGGUGGAUAUGCCAUUUUCCUGGAGUCUCCACUGUCCUCGUGUCUCCGUGAGACUUAGGUUUUCCUCCUAGUUUCAUGCAUUGAUUUCUAAAGUCCUCACUGUGGGGAUUCUGCUACUGUUGCUGACUCAGAUUGCCUUGCUUCAGUGACUUUCUGGGAUCUUGCCACAAGCUUUCAUGACCCCUCACACAUGUAUAUUUCAUGUCUGGUAAACUAAUACUGUGUAGACAAUGCUGCCAAUUUCAGCUACCAACACAAAAUGCAGCUUUCCCUACAAUCAGCAGUCUUCCUUGGACCACAGCUGCAGCAAGAAGCCUCUUCAUACCUUUCAUAAUGAACUUGAGGAAACACAUCUAUGGGCUGUGUCUGCCAUUGAAGACCCGUUCAUCAGCUCUGUGCUUUCAAACAAGUUUGUAUUUGUAUUUGUUGGAAGAUAGAAUCUUACCUCAGGGAGAUGUGGCCAUUAUUCUUUCACAGAAGACUCCUAUAAGCUCAAUAAGCAUUUCUUUCUAGGUUGGUUUUUAUAUGAGAUCUCUCAAGAUGGGUUUAUAGAAUCCAACAUCUAAGAACUCUGUUGACAAUGUCCAAUUGAGCUUAUUACAAAACCAACAGAGGAUAUUGAUUGAUGCAUUGGAUUUAAGAAGGCAAAAUUAAAAUACAAGAGUAUACUUCAAAACUCUGCCUGGCAAGAAAUGCUGAAGUACAGUGAUUGUUUACUCAGUUCUGGAAAAUACUUCUUGGAACUUCCUCUCCUAAGAGUAUGAACCUAGGACUCUGCUACUGAAAACCCUCCAGCACUCUGUCUGAUUCUACGACAGUAAGAGUUAUUCUGUGUUGAUCAUUGAAUUUCUACUACCUUUCUGUGUUGGGCUGAAUGGCUGUUCAGUUUGGCUCAACGAUAUGAAACUCGACUCCUGGAGGAAAGAGUGAAUCCCCUCGGCUGUGCUUUGGUCUUCCCAGCUGACUUGAGUCAUCCCACUCAGUGACCUCAUCUCCUUUCAUAUCUGAAUGUUCCAGCUAUGCCCACAGCACCAGGAACAUCUGUGAGAUUUAUUUUCUGCAUAACUACUUGCUUUUAUAUUUUGGGGGUUAACAUGUUUUGUUUUAAUGUUAUGAGACCAUCUGUGCCUGGUUUAAAACUCACAUUAAUAGAUCAGUUGACUGAAAUGUGAGUAUCAGAGUUUAUUUUCCCAAGACAAUACAUGAACUACCCAAACCAUGACUAGCAAUCAACCUUCUCAAGAUUCUAUAAAUGCUCCUGACCUUAAAUAUUAAUGUGUAGAAAAUUAUUAUAAUAAUUUACUUUUGGAUCACUCUUUGUACCCUACUAAACCUUCUGAUGUCUGUCGGUUCAUUCUGCGGUCAAAUCCUUUAUGCUUAACUCUUCAUCAUUGUACCGGUGUAUCGCACUUCCCAGUACUAUGCAGUACAUCACUGUGAGCCCAGCUGGUCUCCACUCCAGGAACCAUAGGCUUACAUAGGAACCCUAUGCAGAGACACCUGUCCUUUCAAGAGCCAUGAAAGCCAAGAGCAUUGCACAAUCACUUGCACUGAUCAAUAAGUUCAAAACUGAAUCUAUUUCAUCAAGUCUCUUCUGCUCCACAGAGAACUCUAACAUGAUAUCACAACUUUACAUGACAUCCCAUGACCUGGACUUUGUGUGUAAAAAUAUUUAAUUUCCCCUAAGGAAGAAGAAAAUUUCCACCGUUCAAAUCAAAAUAGACUCCAUCAUCCUAGACACUCACCAAUAUUUGAAAGAAGAAAAUACGGCACAUGUACACAGUGGAGUGCUGCUCAGAUAUAAAGAGAAUAAAAUUAUGCCAUUACUAAAUGAAACUGGGACUGUUUGGGAGCGUAUGAGGACCAGAAUGGAGACAGGGAACUGU